CAGUAGCCGCGGUAAUACGGAGGAUCCAAGCGUUAUCCGGAAUCAUUGGGUUUAAAGGGUCCGUAGGCGGUCUUGUAAGUCAGUGGUGAAAGCCCAUCGCUCAACGGUGGAACGGCCAUUGAUACUGCAGGACUUGAAUUAUUGGGAAGUAACUAGAAUAUGUAGUGUAGCGGUGAAAUGCUUAGAGAUUACAUGGAAUACCAAUUGCGAAGGCAGGUUACUACCAAUUGAUUGACGCUGAUGGACGAAAGCGUGGGUAGCGAACAGGAUUAGAUACCCCCGUAGUCCCUGUCUCUUAUAU
rnacentral:rRNA from 1 species